CAGCAGCCGCGGUAAUACGAAGGGGGCUAGCGUUGCUCGGAAUGACUGGGCGUAAAGGGCGCGUAGGCGGCUUGUAUAGUCAGAUGUGAAAUUCCUGGGCUCAACCUGGGGACUGCAUUUGAUACGUGCAGGCUUGAGUGUGGAAGAGGGUCGUGGAAUUCCCAGUGUAGAGGUGAAAUUCGUAGAUAUUGGGAAGAACACCGGUGGCGAAGGCGGCGACCUGGUCCAUAACUGACGCUGAGGCGCGAAAGCGUGGGGAGCAAACAGGAUUAGUUACCCCAGUAGUCCCUGUCUCUUAUAC
rnacentral:rRNA from 1 species